rnacentral:rRNA from 1 species
UACGUAGGGGGCAAGCGUUGUCCGGAUUUAUUGGGCGUAAAGAGCGUGUAGGCGGCCACACAGGUCUGCUGUGAAAACUCGAGGCUCAACCUCGAGCUGUCGGUGGAAACCGUGUGGCUAGAGUCCGGAAGAGGAGAGUGGAAUUCCCGGUGUAGCGGUGAAAUGCGCAGAUAUCGGGAAGAACACCCGUGGCGAAGGCGGCAUCCUGGACCGACACUGACGCUGAGGUGCGAAAGCGUGGGGAGCAAACAGG